rnacentral:lncRNA from 1 species
GAUGACAUUCCGUCAUUUGAGUAUUUUUAAUUAUUAUUCUAUAGUAUUUUAGUUAAUUUUUAAGAGUAUUGCAUGAUCAAAGAGAAGAAUUUAUGAAGAAUUUGACAUAUAAAAGAGUUUGAAGAAAGAAGCCUAAAAGGAAAAAGACUUGGAAAACAUUCCAAAAAUUGCAAAGACUUGGAGAAAUAAGUUUUAAAGCUACUGUUUUUCUCGCGUUCCUGUACAAUUCAUUCGUGGUGCGAUUUGGAUUUUUUCAUCACAUGACAUCAUCAACGCGUCAGCAUGAUGCAAGCCAAUUUUUAAUCACAUGCCACCUAGGCGAUCUAGCUUUUAAAUACANNNNNNNNNNNNGAUUGAAGAACAACGGCAUGCACAACAACUGAUCGGUGAUUCAAGUGGCUUUAUACACCAUUCAACCGCAAUUUUAUGUGUAAUUCUGAAUACUCUUUUUAUCUCUAAUCAAUAUUAUGAGUAGCUAAUUUUUCAAUUGUUAGGGAUGAGUAAACCUAGAUGACUAUUCUUAUUUUAUGAUUUGAUUUAUGACUAUUGAAGAAUUCUAAUGAUUAUUUUUCUUAUAUCUGUGCUUAAUGCUUUUAUCGAUUGAUCACCGUUAAAUUGAUUUACGAUUCAUAUUGUGAUACGGGAGUUGAAUUUAUGAAUGCUUUGAUAUAAGAAAUUCUUGUCUUUGUAAUUUAGGAAUAGAUGCAAACCCUUGNNNNNNNNNNNNNNNNNNNNNNNNNNNNNNNNNNNNNNNACUAAGGAAUUAGGAAUUAUUUUAGAAUUAACGACUCUGUCACUAAGGAAUUAGGGCACGAAUACUUUAGGGAAUUCGGUAAUAAUUUGAUAAAUAGCUUCAAUAGUCAUAAUCAAGUCACUACAUUAAAAAAGUAGUCUAGUGAAACUCAUCCCUGACAUUUUUAUUAUUAUCAAAUACAAAGUAAUUUUCGUUAUUAUUAUUAUUAUUGCUAUUGCACCCAAUCAAACUGAAACCUUUUGUUCAAUCGAGUAGAAAUCACAAUUCAACAAUAUAACGCGAUCCUUGAGUUCGACACUCGGUCUUACCGUUUUAAAUAUAUUACUUGCACGAUUUCG